rnacentral:rRNA from 1 species
CCUACGGGUGGCAGCAGUGGGGAAUAUUGGACAAUGGGCGAAAGCCUGAUCCAGCCAUGCCGCGUGUAUGAAGAAGGCCUUCGGGUUGUAAAGCACUUUCAGUGGGGAAGAAAGCCUUGGGGCUAAUACCCUCGAGGAAGGACAUCACCCACAGAAGAAGCACCGGCUAACUCCGUGCCAGCAGCCGCGGUAAUACGGAGGGUGCGAGCGUUAAUCGGAAUUACUGGGCGUAAAGCGCGCGUAGGCGGUCUGAUAAGCCGGUUGUGAAAGCCCCGGGCUCAACCUGGGAACGGCAUCCGGAACUGUCAGGCUAGAGUGCAGGAGAGGAAGGUAGAAUUCCCGGUGUAGCGGUGAAAUGCGUAGAGAUCGGGAGGAAUACCAGUGGCGAAGGCGGCCUUCUGGACUGACACUGACGCUGAGGUGCGAAAGCGUGGGUAGCAAACAGGAUUAGAUACCCUAGUAGUC